CUAUCCUACAGAGGGACUUGAAACAGACACAGGGUGUUAUUUUACAGACUUAUUUAUUUGAAAGGCAGAGCAACAGAGAAGGAGAGGCAGAGACAGAGAAUCUUCCAUCUCCUGGUUUACUCCCCACAGACCGCAAUAGCCAGGCUCAAGUUAGGAGCCAGGGAACUCCACCCGGGUCUCCCACGUGGGUGCAGGGGCUCAAGCACGUGGCUCAUUUCCACUGCUUUCCCAGGAGCAUGGGCAGGGAGCUGGAUCAGAAGUGGAGUAGCCGGGACUCACACCAGCGCUCUGAUAUGGAACGCUGACUUCGCAAGCAGCAGCUUGACCUGCUGUGCCACAAUGCCAGCCCUGCAAGGUGUUAUUUUAGUCUAAAAGUUUAGCAGCAAAAUAAAAACUAGGGAAAUCAAAGAAGUAUACAAGGCCUACAAAAGCAAGCCUUAGUGAGGUAGCAUGUUAUCACCGACUAGCGGUAGAAGAGAACAUCAGUAACUAUGAGAUCGUGAGAAACCCGAAGUAGAAGUCGCUCCCAUUCACUCUGAACACUAGCGGCACCCACACGGGGGCUUCCCAGAGUAACACAGUCAGCUCACCAGGGAGUUUUAAGCUUCUGUUUAUGACAACACCGUUGCCAUGGAAACACCUGACUCAACUUCGUGGACUCACAGCUGAAUAAAGUAAGGUGUGGAACAGAGUCUUAUUUAAACAGCGGCAAACCCCAUAAAACACGGAGAAGGCAAACCGGGCAACAGUGAAUCAGCACCAUAUGUUUUAAUGGAAGGAGCACAUUUUUCCCCCCGAUCCUGACACAAAUAGGUUGUUUCUUUUUAAUGUAGUCCUAUUUUGGGAACCCUAUGAUCAUCGCGACUCCUCCCCCCAGGCCCUAAGGUUUGCUAUCGGCUCUAUCAACAGAAGGCAGUCUGUACUUCUUUCAACUGAUUGAGCUUGCAACACAGCUCACCAGGUCACACAUGGAGCACAAGCCAGGGUUUCAAAACUCUCCUUGCGUGCAGCUGAUUCGGUUACAAGGGAGGACUGACUUUCUCACUAGAGUAACUUCAGGCAUAUGUUCUGCCUUUGGUCAGUACAGAGCUGUCCGAGAACACGAAUGAGAGCACAGGUCAGCUCUGCGCCAGAGCCCAGCCCCGCCCCGUGCUGCCCCUGGACGGGUCAGUGGAGUUUCCCGGCCAAGUGGACCUGAAACGGGAUGGCAGCAGAGAAGUGGCUGUGUAAAUAGAAACCAGCUUCCUCUGCUGCCAGUGCUGCCCAGGGUGUGGCUGCCCUGCUCCUGCACAGGAGAACGAUUCAUACCAGCAAAACCGGAAAAAUCACAACCGAAGGCAACUGUGGACGCUGCGAGAGCCAAGAGGGAAACGUAAAGGAGCUGGGUUUUCCACCAGGAAGCCUUGGGCUGCGGCAGGUGUGGCUCUCAGAAGGCAGCCCUUGUGCCACCCACAGGAUAGCCCAUGGAUUCUCACCGCAGACCAGCGACGGGGACUCUUCCAGCAGCAGGUGCCACGUCCAGAAGGUACUGCAGUCUCCCGAGGCCGGCUCCAGAGGGAACGUGCCCCCAAGCCUGCAAUCAGGCUGGGAACUCAGCCACCCAUGCAGCCCACUAUUCAGGGGGACUCGUGAGGGCGUGGUCCAGGGACCUGGGCCUGGGACGGCAUUUUACCCUUUCUACCGAAAGGGCCAUUCUGAAUCACAAGCAACUAAACAGAUCUAUGGCUAGGAAAAUUUUAUGAUAUUUGAAAUAAAAUUCUUCUUCAAAAAAUAGAAUUUUCUGAAAUAACCAAAUAUUCUACUUUUUCCCUCCCUUUUUGGUAUAGUUUAGGAAAUAUUUGUUUUUGCUAUAUGAGUUCCAAUUAUCUUAAAGAUGGUAUUUCCCCCUUUACCCAAUUCUGAAGACUAAACAACAACCACGCGCCCUCCUUUCUGAACCAAUGCCGCUCAUCUACAGAACACCCUACAGGGGAAGCCCUGAGCGGACAGGAGGCGGCUGCUCAGACCACUGGCCUCCUCCGCUUUACCACAAGCUCGGUUUGAGGACAUCACUGGAACUGAACAAGCCAGCUUUUCUACAAGACCUGGCCUGGUCCAUGUGAUUUUGGAGAAAAUAAUUCAUUUUUUUUUAUUCAAAGAUUGGAUUCACAAGUAGAAAUCAGUUUUUCCUAUAGCUCUGGAGACCACCGCUUGUGGAGACUAAGAGCUCCUUGUCCAGCCCCUUCCUUUCACUGACAGGAAAACCACAGGCCACCCCAGCUGUUUUUGCCUCAGUUUAUAAGGGGCAUUGUUUUUAAAGGUGGAUUUUAAAAAACAAGCACUGGGGGAAGGGGCACAGAAUUGACCCAUGUACAGACUCAGAGCUCAAGGUACUGUAGGUUUGUAUGGCAGGUUAUUUUGGGACUUAUUACAGAGUUUAAAAGAAUUGUAAAAGACACAGCUUUCACUGAAUACGUAUACACGAAAAGGGAACACCACAUUCUGCCACGCUACUCUAAGACCAAGGGUAACCUGAAGAACGCCUGUAAAAAGAACAGCAACGGUAGGCACGUACGCGGACUUUUCAAGUCACUGCUCGGCUAACCUAUCCAUCAGCCCCUCUCGCUAAGAGGGCAGACUGGACACACUUUGGGACGUGCCAAGGUCGGUGGUGAGUCAGCUAAGGCACUGCACUUCCUUGGCUUUAAAUCAUGGUGCUUAUUGACUCUGGUCUGAGCUACCGCUAAACGAAAGGUGACUCCAGCUAAAGACAAGGUGUGUAGCCAGUACACUGUCAAGUUAAUAGAUGUAAUAUUUUAGGACCAAGAUUUUAAAUUGCAAAGCACUGAUAAGCUGAGGAGCAAACUAGUGGGAGGACGGCAUGUAAGAUUACACAAUAUUUGAACAAAAUGUUUGGUUUGCCUCCACACAUUAAAUUGAAAUUUUUCAUUAACUGUUGACCUGCAUUUGAAACCACGCAAUACCCUUCGGUCCUAUAAAACAUCUAUGCUUUUGUGAUAAAGUAGAUUAAAAUAAAAUUAUAUAAUU